AAAUCAUGGUAUUAGCACUGCCUUAAAAGUUAUCUAAAAUGCUCCCACGCCUCAUAUAGGGAUUCAUACUCAUACUGUUUGUAGCUAGAUAUUUUUGUGGUGAGCU